CUGCGAGUUCGCGGGAGAGUAAGUUAUUGCCAGGGUUUUUAUUUUAUACUUUAAACAUUGAUUUUAUUUUUUAUGUUUUUAGAUGUUCAUUUUUUUAAAUGUUUUAUUCAAAAAAUAUAAAAAAUAAAAUAUAUAUUGACAUGGAUUAAACAAAGAUAUAUAUUAUUCUAUGUUGUAUAAACAAAUUGGCAAAAUAGAGAUGGAAGAUAAAAAUAUGGUCAAAGUAAUAAGAGUCUAUGGUGAAUGCCUAGGA
rnacentral:misc_RNA from 1 species